rnacentral:sRNA from 1 species
ACACAAAGGCUGCUGCUGCCGCCAGAGGAAGGGCUGCUCUGCACGCACCUAUGUGGAAACUAAAGCCCAGAGAGAAAGUCUGACUUGCUCCACAGCCAGUGAGUGACUGCAGCAGCACCAGAAUCCGGUCUGUUUCCUGUUUGGCUCUUCUACCACUACAGCUUGGGAUCUCGAACUUCACCGCGUUGGGGGAGGCGGAGGCGCGGCGCUGCGCCCGACGAGAGGAGCUGCUGGCUCGAGGCUGCCCGCUGGAGGAGCUGGAGGAGCCCCGCGGCCAGCAGGAGGUACUGCAGGACCAGCCGCUCAGCCAGGGCGCCCGCGGAGAGGGUGCCACCCAGCUGGCGCCGCAGCGGGUCCGGGUCACGCUGCGGCCUGGGGAGCCCCAGCAGCUCCAGGUCCGCUUCCUUCGUGCUGAGGGAUACCCGGUGGACCUGUACUACCUUAUGGACCUGAGCUACUCCAUGAAGGACGACCUGGAACGCGUGCGCCAGCUCGGGCACGCUCUGCUGGUCGGGCUGCAGGAAGUCACCCAUUCUGUGCGCAUUGGUGAGCCGAGCGCUGCCUCCCGCCCUGUUAGCCCUUGCCUAUUCAACCACUGCCCUAGCCUCUGCCAACAUCCUGGACUCACAAGGGCCCCAACUUGCCCUCCCAGUUGUUGACAGGCCUAGCCAGGCCACAGGUUCGUUCCUGCAUAUCUCCCUAGACACCCAUCUUCUAGGUCAGAGCUGGAGAGGACUCAAGAGACUGUCCGUUUUACACAUCUGAGACCCAGCGUCUGGAGAGACUGUGCUUGGGCACUCUCUGGGCCUGGACAGCUGCCCUGAGCCUACCAACCUGGAACCUGCCCUGAUGCAAGUCUCCCUGGAGAUGCCACUGUCCCUGGCUCCACAUUCUGUGCCAACUCUCUAUUCAAAUUUCCUUCAUUUGCCUCAUGCUGCUACCAUAUCACAUACCCGGGCCUUCUUCCGCCUUCUGGAAGUUCCCGUUUGCCCUGAAGUUCCCAUUUGCCCAGGAAGUUGUUUCCUCCUCUUAAUGUCUUCUACCUGCCACUUCCCUGAGCCAGUGGUCUCAUUGCUUUGCUUGCCAGUUACCAGGUCCCUGCCCCCUAGGUGCACUCUCUCCCAUCACCGUCCUCCCCACCCCACUUCCCAUAGAGCGCUCUCAUGGGUCCUCUGUUGCUGCCCUGCGACUUCUGGCACAACCUUCAUUCCUCUCCUCUCCCAGGUUUUGGUUCCUUUGUGGACAAAACGGUGCUGCCCUUUGUGAGCACAGUACCCUCCAAGCUGCGCCACCCCUGCCCCACCCGGCUGGAGCGCUGCCAGUCACCCUUCAGCUUUCACCAUGUGCUGUCCCUAACGGGGGACGCGCAAGCCUUCGAGCGGGAGGUGGGGCGCCAGAGUGUGUCCGGCAAUCUGGACUCCCCUGAAGGUGGCUUCGAUGCCAUUCUGCAGGCUGCACUCUGCCAGGUGAGGAGGUGGGGCGGGGAUCUGAGCCUGGAGGUCUGUUUGGGAACAGGACUGCCCCUUAUGGUUGUGUAGUGCACAGUUCUAGGGGGUGCCAUUCAUACCAUAGUUGCUGUAGUUUGUAUACUUAACAAUUACCUGGUGGGUUGGAGUAAAAUAUCUUGAGAAGGCGGCAUGUUUUUCUAAUUCACAAGUAAGCCUCCACUAGCAGCAGCCUUCUUUAGGGGGCUGGGGAGAGCAGGGAGAAGCA